AUACUGUAUGAAAGGAGGGAAGGCUAUCAUUCCCCUUACUAAGGAUGAAGGAAGUCCUAGGGUGCCUUUACAACACAUUUAAUAUGUUAAUGUAUUGUCACUCACUCUGGAACCUAAUGAUAUUCUUUU
ensembl:snRNA